GUCCAGGGGCCCCCCAGGGGCCUGAGGGAUGAGGCUGGCUCCAAGGCCCCCUCCUACCUCUGCAUCCCCAGCCACGCGGGCCCUGAAGCCAGGACCCUGAGUGACAGCCCAUUGACACAGGCCAGGGCCAUGUACAUAGGCAAGACUCUUCAGCGAUGGAAGGGAGGUUACAGCUCUCUGGCUGGCUCUCUGAGUAUCCGUACCUGGUUCUCUCCCUUCUCACAAGAUGGGCACAGGCAGCCCCUUUGCCCAGAGACCUGAGUGGGGUUCCUGGUACAUAUAUUUUUAUUAAAGCCCCUGUAUUGAUGCAGGCUCCUCAACUGCAAGAGACCCAACUCACAGUGGCUUGAGCAAAUGGAAGAGUGGUGGGCUCAUUGCCUGAGAAAGCCAGAGAUUCCUGGCUUCAGGCAUGGCUGGAUCUAGGUGGUCCAAAUGCGUCAUAGGAGUGUGAUGUCUUCCAUCUCUCAGUGCUUGUUUCUUUAUCUGCUACCAAUCUCUGUGCAGCAAAUUACCACAAAAUGUAUCGGCCUAAAACAGUAAACGUCUAAAACCUCACACAAUUUUUGUGGAUCAGGAAUUCAGAGGAGGUGUCAUGGUUUGAGGUCUCUUGUGAGGUUACGAUCAAGAUGUCAGUCAGCCUGUCCAUGUCAUCGGACGGGUGGAAUGGAGCUGGAAGGGCUGCCUCCGGGGUGGCACACACACCCUGGCGGCUGUGGGCAGCAGACAGCAGUUUCUUGCCACAUGGACCUCUCCAUUCGGCUGCUUGCGUGUCCUCACAACAUGGCCACGGGCUGAGUGAUCAAGGAGGAGGCUGCGAUGUCUUCUGGGACCCAGAAGUCACCCUUCCUCAUCUCUGCAGCCUUGUAUUGGUAACAGCAGUGGGCUUUCGCGAGGUGAGCGGGGAUUCCGUCCAGCACGGAUACCAGCAGGUGAGAAUCAUCAGGGGGCACAGGGGGCAUCUGGAAGGCUGGCGACCACGGCUUCUUUCCAGGUCUUGCAGAAGAGGCUGCAGCCCCAGCAGCACACAACUUCCCUGUGCCAUGCCCAUCGCCCACCUGAUGAUCGUGACUCCGACCAGCCAUGCCGAGCCAGUCCAAAGACUCUCCGAGAAGUUUCCAUCUGCAGAGGGCUUUGGAACAGAGCCUGAAUCCUGACAGAUCCCGGGCCUUUCUCCUGCUGGUACCCUCGUCUCCAGGGAAGGCCCCUCUAACUCCCAGAGGUUGCAGGAAGAAGAAGAGACCAUCAGAGGGAGGGAACACUGGUACACAUCCCGCAAGGUGUCACCCACCCCCAUGAUGUACCAGAGCCCAUGGCCUGCGUGUGUGUAUGUGCAUGUGCGUGCGUGUGUGUGUGUGUGUGUGUGUGUGUGUGCCCAGGAUGGGCAACAUAUUGGAAGGAGCUACGCUGGGUCCCGGUGCAGCAAAAGCUUGGCCCCCCGUAGUCUCCAAAUCACCCCCGCGGGGUAGAUAUGACUGUCCCCACCCUGCAGAAGUGGCUCAGCACUUGCCUGAGCUUGUAGGACCUUGCCCGUGACGCAGCCACCAUGGGCUCCGGCGGCUC
rnacentral:lncRNA from 12 species